UGCCGGUGAUAAACCGGAGGAAGGUGGGGAUGACGUCAAGUCAUCAUGGCCCUUAUGUCCAGGGCGACACACGUGCUACAAUGGCCGACACAAAGGGCAGCAAUACCGCGAGGUGGAGCGAAUCCCAAAAAGUCGGUCCAAGUUCGGAUUGGAGUCUGCAACUCGACUCCAUGAAGCCGGAAUCGCUAGUAAUCGUAGGUCAGCCAUACUACGGUGAAUACGUUCCCGGGCCUUGUACACACCGCCCGUCAAGCGAUGGAAGCUGGGGGUACCCGAAGCCGGUGGCCUAACCUUCGGGAGGGAGCCGUCGAAGGUAAACUCAGUGACUGGCGCUAAGUCGUAACAAGGUAGCCGUAGGGGAACCUGCGGCUGGAUCACCUCCUUU
rnacentral:rRNA from 1 species